rnacentral:rRNA from 1 species
GUACACAAAAAUGCACAUAUUGUGAGCUCGAUGAGUAGGGCGGGACACGUGGUAUCCUGUCUGAAUAUGGGGGGACCAUCCUCCAAGGCUAAAUACUCCUGACUGACCGAUAGUGAACCAGUACCGUGAGGGAAAGGCGAAAAGAACCCCGGCGAGGGGAGUGAAAAAGAACCUGAAACCGUGUACGUACAAGCAGUGGGAGCCUCUUUAUGGGGUGACUGCGUACCUUUUGUAUAAUGGGUCAGCGACUUAUAUUCUGUAGCAAGGUUAACCGAAUAGGGGAGCCGAAGGGAAACCGAGUCUUAACUGGGCGUUAAGUUGCAGGGUAUAGACCCGAAACCCGGUGAUCUAGCCAUGGGCAGGUUGAAGGUUGGGUAACACUAACUGGAGGACCGAACCGACUAAUGUUGAAAAAUUAGCGGAUGACUUGUGGCUGGGGGUGAAAGGCCAAUCAAACCGGGAGAUAGCUGGUUCUCCCCGAAAGCUAUUUAGGUAGCGCCUCGUGAAUUCAUCUCCGGGGGUAGAGCACUGUUUCGGCAAGGGGGUCAUCCCGACUUACCAACCCGAUGCAAACUGCGAAUACCGGAGAAUGUUAUCACGGGAGACACACGGCGGGUGCUAACGUCCGUCGUGAAGAGGGAAACAACCCAGACCGCCAGCUAAGGUCCCAAAGUCAUGGUUAAGUGGGAAACGAUGUGGGAAGGCCCAGACAGCCAGGAUGUUGGCUUAGAAGCAGCCAUCAUUUAAAGAAAGCGUAAUAGCUCACUGGUCGAGUCGGCCUGCGCGGAAGAUGUAACGGGGCUAAACCAUGCACCGAAGCUGCGGCAGCGACACUAUGUGUUGUUGGGUAGGGGAGCGUUCUGUAAGCCUGUGAAGGUGGCCUGUGAGGGUUGCUGGAGGUAUCAGAAGUGCGAAUGCUGACAUAAGUAACGAUAAAGCGGGUGAAAAGCCCGCUCGCCGGAAGACCAAGGGUUCCUGUCCAACGUUAAUCGGGGCAGGGUGAGUCGACCCCUAAGGCGAGGCCGAAAGGCGUAGUCGAUGGGAAACAGGUUAAUAUUCCUGUACUUGGUGUUACUGCGAAGGGGGGACGGAGAAGGCUAUGUUGGCCGGGCGACGGUUGUCCCGGUUUAAGCGUGUAGGCUGGUUUUCCAGGCAAAUCCGGAAAACCAAGGCUGAGGCGUGAUGACGAGGCACUACGGUGCUGAAGCGACAAAUGCCCUGCUUCC